GCCGCUGUAGCUCAGUUGGUAGAGCGCCCGCCUUGUAAGCGGAAGGUCAGGGGUUCGAGUCCCCUCAGCGGCU
rnacentral:tRNA from 1 species